GCUGAUCCUUGGAUCAUUUUGUCCCAUUUUAAAAGAUUAAAAGCUAGGGCUUGAGAAGAAGAAGAGAAGAAGAAGAGAAGAAGGAGAAGAAGAAGAAGAAGAAGAGGAGAAAGAGGAGAUCAACAAGUUUCCGUCAAAGAUCAACGUGGAUUAUCAUCGAGGUGAUCCCUAUCAAGAUAUGUGAGUUCUUUGUGUGGGUUGAUCCUUU
rnacentral:lncRNA from 1 species